AGCGAACGCUGGCGGCAGGCCUAACACAUGCAAGUCGAACGGAUCCUUCGGGAUUAGUGGCGGACGGGUGAGUAACACGUGGGAACGUGCCCUUUGGUUCGGAACAACUCAGGGAAACUUGAGCUAAUACCGGAUGUGCCCUUCGGGGGAAAGAUUUAUCGCCAUUGGAGCGGCCCGCGUCUGAUUAGCUAGUUGGUGAGGUAAAGGCUCACCAAGGCGACGAUCAUUAGCUGGUCUGAGAGGAUGAUCAGCCACAUUGGGACUGAGACACGGCCCAAACUCCUACGGGGGGCAGCAGUGGGGAAUCUUGCGCAAUGGGCGAAAGCCUGAUGCAGCCAUGCCGCGUGGAUGAUGAAGGUCUUAGGAUUGUAAAAUUCUUUCACCGGGGACGAUAAUGACGGUACCCGGAGAAGAAGCCCCGGCUAACUUCGUGCCAGCCGCCGCAGUAA
rnacentral:rRNA from 1 species